AACCAUAGAAACCUGCGGAGUACCUGCGGAGGGAUCAUUACACAAUACAAUAUGAAGGCUGUCCGCAGCUGGAGUAUUUUAUUACCCUUGUCUUUUGCGCACUUGUUGUUUCCUGGGCGGGUUCGCUCGCCACCAGGACCACCAAAUAAACCUUUUUUAUGCAGUUGCAAUCAGCGUCAGUACAAACAAUGUAAAUCAUUUACAACUUUUAUCAACGGAUCUCAGAUCGGAAGAGCACAC
rnacentral:misc_RNA from 1 species